rnacentral:rRNA from 1 species
UNUGACUUGAGUGCAGAAGGGGAGAGUGGAAUUCCAUGUGUAGCGGUGAAAUGCGUAGAUAUAUGGAGGAACACCAGUGGCGAAAGCGGCUCUCUGGUCUGUCACUGACGCUGAGGCUCGAAAGCGUGGGUAGCGAACAGGAUUAGAUACCCUGGUAGUCCACGCCGUAAACGAUGAGUGCUAGGUGUUAGGCCCUUUCCGGGGCUUAGUGCCGGAGCUAACGCAAUAAGCACUCCGCCUGGGGAGUACGACCGCAAGGUUGAAACUCAAAGGAAUUGUCGGGGGCCCGCACAAGCGGUGGAGCAUGUGGUUUAAUUCGAAGCAACGCGAAGAACCUUACCAGGUCUUGACAUCCCGAUGCUAUUCUUAGAGAUAGGAAGUUACUUCGGUACAUCGGAGACAGGUGGUGCAUGGUUGUCGUCAGCUCGUGUCGUGAGAUGUUGGGUUAAGUCCCGCAACGAGCGCAACCCUUAUUGUUAGUUGCCAUCAUUAAGUUGGGCACUCUAGCGAGACUGCCGGUAAUAAACCGGAGGAAGGUGGGGAUGACGUCAAAUCAUCAUGCCCCUUAUGACCUGGGCUACACACGUGCUACAAUGGUCGGUACAACGAGUUGCGAGCCGGUGACGGCAAGCUAAUCUCUGAAAGCCGAUCUCAGUUCGGAUUGGAGGCUGCAACUCGCCUCCAUGAAGUCGGAAUCGCUAGUAAUCGCGGAUCAGCACGCCGCGGUGAAUACGUUCCCGGGCCUUGUACACACCGCCCGUCACACCACGAGAGUUUGUANCACUC